rnacentral:rRNA from 1 species
UACGUAGGGUGCGAGCGUUGUCCGGAAUUACUGGGCGUAAAGAGCUCGUAGGUGGUUUGUCGCGUUGUUCGUGAAAACUCACAGCUCAACUGUGGGCGUGCGGGCGAUACGGGCAGACUGGAGUACUGCAGGGGAGACUGGAAGUUCCUGGUGUAGCGGUGGAAUGCGCAGAGUAUCAGGAGGAACACCGGUGGCGAAGGCGGGUCUCUGGGCAGUAACUGACGCUGGAGGAGCGAAAGCGUGGGAGCGAACAGG